AGGAGCUAGAGACUGGCCACACAGCACAGCCUGCAGCUGGAUGUGGCUCUCCCUUGGAGACGUUGCAAUUACUUGAUUAGCGUGUUGCUCCAACUGCAAAUCGGCUCGUGGUGCGAAGUAUGAAGUGCUCGGUUACACAUAGACCGACCGAGAGAGAAACAUCAUCUCCCGGAAGGAAAUCACUCUCUCACCUGUUGGGGAGUGUAGUGUUCAGCAGUGACGUGUAACUCCUCACGUAUUAUCCAGCCGGACAUCGCACGGUCUAAAGCAGCCUUUGACCUUCAUGGGAGCCAGGCCCAAGAGGGCGGCAGAGAGCUGGUCUGCAUGAACGCGGGUGUGAACGGCACAAGCUCACUGCAGGGGGUGCAAGAGGAUAUAUCUGGAGGAAAAUCGUUGCAGCGCCAGCGGCCGAGCUGGGAAGGUUUCCGGGAAUCCCAGCUGCUAGGCAGAGAUGAGUUUGCACGUGACUGCGAUCUUGGGCAGAGGCACCGCGUCCCAGAGGAGGGAGUUGGUAAGUCUCUGUGCCCAGCUCUAGGGCUUAGAUUGGCAUUUUGCAAUUUGCCCUGAAUAAGGCUCCCAUGGAUGCUGUCAGCCCCGACGACUGGGCAGGGCCACCCAGACCGCUGCCAGGGCCCGAAGAUUCCCUGGGACCCCCAGGACCCUCGCUGGCACCUGGACCCAGAGCCCAUGGACAUGCUGCCAGCCCCUUCGUCCCCCGUGGACCCUGCAGAUCCAUUGUGGAGCCAAGUGCAGCCCCGGGGGAACCGGGAGCAGCCCAGGAGUAGCGGAGACGGAGCUCAGCUGCUUGGCGUGUUGCAGUCAGGAUCCCUGCCGACCCAGAGACAGUCUCUUAGGGCCCUGGGCUGGGAUGCAGUGGAGCGGAUGGGCCUGCAACGCCAACUUACCACCGGCUGAGAUGCUGCCUUGGGUCGCCUAAUGGGAGUCCCGCCGGGGCCUGAUCCUCAGCCAGGGCGAGGCAGCUGUCUGCUAGCCCUCCCGAUCAGUGUUGCCCUAUAGCUAGCUGGGGGUGGAUUCCCGUGGCGUAGCACUGCCGUAGCUGCUUCGGUCACCACCCCAGCUCUAACCGGGGGGACUGGCUGGGCUCCCGUACACCCAGCUGAUCACCCCAGCUCCCAGAAUAGCUUCUAGUGUACCUCAGUGGGCCAGCCUGGCACAGAAGCCCAGCGUCGGAGACUGUCCCAACCGUUCCCGCCACAGCCCCCGAGCUGGGCCAGAAGUCAAGUAAAUUCCCGCUUGGGGGCCAGAGCCUCAGCUGGUGUAAAUCAGUGCAGCACAGGAGCCGCCUGGCUUUACCCCUGCUCAGGACGUGGCCUGGGAGGGCUGGGGAAGGUCUAUUCCCCCAGCUGCAGAGUCUGGCGACCGGUGGGUGCUGAGUCACCCUAGCAAGUGCAGGAGCAGGGAAGGAAACAGAAAGGGACACAAGGUCUGUGAAGCUGCCUGGAGCCGCGCAAAGGGCUUUCCAAAGCGGCGGGGAGCGAGUGGGGCGCAGAGAGCGGGGAGGCGGAGGAGGGCUGGCCAGGUGGCAGGGGAGGGGUGACCGGCAGACCCAAAGUGGAGUACAUCUGCCAGGAGAGGGCGAUUUAGCCCCAAGGCAGCGUGCGCGGCUGGGAGCCCCUCUCAGGAGAUCAUGGCAGUGUCAUGGCCGGCAGAGCUGGCUUUAGGAAGUGCGGGGCCCAAUUCGAACCAUUUCCACAGGGCCCUGGCAGCCAGGAAUUUUUGUUGAGC